GCUGCACACACACUAAAACACAUUAGAAACACACACACACUUCACGUUAACACCAUUUCUUUGGUGUUCAAGCUUUUGACCUCCGAUUUGAGCACCGAGACGAGCGCUGAUCAUCUUUUCGAUCACGUAUCUAAGUAGGUCCUUUUGGGAAGUAACGACUUGAGGGAGAGAGUGACGUUACUCAUUGAUACAGAGACACAACGAGGUUGAGCUGAUGUGAUGAUGGUGCUGCAAUGAGCGGAGUCUCCAGGGUUGUUAAUAAAUAGUUAACCUGUCUAGAAUAUGUCUUCAUACAUAUGUCUAGCUACUUUCCGCUGCAAGAUGUUGUUGAUGUUAUAGUAUGUUAUGUCAUACUUUGAGUCUUAAGAGAAUGGUUUCAUAUGAUGUAUAACUUGAUUAAUGAUAUUAAUUAACUUUUAUGCAGUCUUUCAUAGACUGUUUUCAAUUGAGUAUUAAUGAAUAAAAAUGACGAGUUUUAUUAA